rnacentral:lncRNA from 1 species
UUGAGAAACACUGUCCUAUGUGAUGUAGUUCCUGAGAUAUAAAGCUGACUUUGACUCUGACUAUUGGAAGGUGAAAAUGGAAGGAAAAUAAGGAUGAGUGAAAAUCGAACCUAUUGAAUAAUCACGGAACAAUUGUCCUUUGACAGAAAAGAAACACCACUCCCCAGAAAGAACAAACCAAGCGGAUGAUUUAGAAUUUCAGUGAAAGUUGCUUGAAAAAUCUGGACCCACUCUUGUGAAAAGUGGAGCUUAGGGAACGACAGGUCCUGCAUCUACCUUCUCAACUGCUCCUCCAGAAUGGGACCUGAUGUGGAGCAUCAGGGAAGAGGUGGAGAGGCUGAUGAAGGAGCAGAACAAAACCCUGUCUGCUAACAGCAAAGCAAAGAAACAACAGGCCCUCCAUGGUUCAUCCUCCUCAUCCUCAGUGAAAAACGCAGCGUGUGUUCAGUGAGAGGGAGGGGAG